rnacentral:lncRNA from 1 species
UCAAACCAUUUCAAGAACUUCAAUUGAACAAAUUCAUCGUUCAUCAAGGUAUACCAUUUCAUGCAUACACGGUUACUGACUCACUGUAGCUUAACUUAGACACUAACAAUAUUUGAUCACAUGAACUUAGCAUAACACAUUUGAAUAUAUAUAUAUAAAUAUACCAUAAUAGAUUACUAAAUUAUAUCCAAAAUGAACCAUCACUAGCCAUUCCAAUGGCUAGGUUACAAAAUGAUAUUUCAAGCCACUACUAGCCAAAUUUCCCUAUACAUGCCAUUACACCAAAAUGAUUUCACUAAAUAUACCCAAAAUGCUAGUUGAUAGUGUGACAAUGCUCCAAUGACCUUCCAACCUUCACAAGCUUCCAAGCACUAUAAAAUAGGGGAAAAAUAAAAAGAGUAAGCAUUAGAUGCUUAGUAAGUUCGUACAACAGAAACUAAACUUGCCAAUCUUGUUUAUUAAAAUCUAGGCAUACAAUGUUAUGUUUCCAUCCAUUUGGCUAAAUGGCCUAAUCACAUACAUUUCAUCAAUCACGUUAGUCACCAACUAUUCAUAAAAAUCAAGUAACAUACAUGAGCUCAUCAAGCAAUGUUCUUUCAAGUUAUUAUCAUUUAUCUCGAGAUUUUCAUGUCAAGUUAAGAGUUAUAUGUCCUUUGAAUCAUUAAAAUCCUGAUGAAGGCUCAAAUAGUACACUCGAGGUGUACGAUUCAAUAAUCCAUUAAUUCUUAUCAAAGGUAACCCUUAAGAUACUUAACCAAGGAACACACUCUCGAGCUACAUGUCAUAUGAUAGGAUUACCAGUCCAGACUAAAUCCUUUAUAUAGCGAAUGCUCAAAAAGCUUGAUUAGAAUUACCAGUCCAGGCUAAAUCCUAAUUUUAACGCAUACUCAAGAGGCAUUGUAUUAGGAUUACCCGUUAAGGCUAAAUCCUUUAUAUAAUAAGGUCAUUGGAAUUACUCGUCCAAGCUAAAUCCCGUCCGCAACAAAUGUAGGACCUCAUUAAUUUCGAGAAAGCAUAUACAAUCAUCGGAAUUCAAUGUUUAAUUGGGACUUAACCCCUUUAUCAUCAUUUUAAAUACGUAUAAAUUUUCCAUCAUAACUUAAAAGUGGGGCACAUUAACAUAAAUCACAUUACAUACAAUACAACAUUCAAUUUACAUAAUCAAAUAUCGGUUAAGUUACAUGAACUUACCUUGACACUUGUUCGCGUAAUAAUCUACUAAUCCGAAAUCUUUUCCUUUCCUCGAUCUAACCUCAAGUUUGUGUUUUCUGGAUCUAUAUAAAUGAAUUUAAUCGUAAAUUUCAUACAUUUCACAAUUAGACGAACUCAAUUUUAGGCCCGAAAAAUGAAACUUGUAGAAACUACUCCCUAUUCCAAGCUUAACCAAAGCCCCAUUACAAAUUUCCAGCACAUGUUUACAUAAAAUUUUAGAAUUUUUCAUCAAUUUUUACAAGUUUACAUUUUAGUCCCUAAAUCAAGUUUUCAUCAAAAAUCACUUUGUAAAAGUUUUUUAUCUAUAAAUAAUCUUUCAUUUUCUACCAUAAAUUUCUAAUUUCCAGCAUAAUACAUCCAUGACCCAUUUUCAUACCUUGAUAAUUUUUCAAAUUAAUCCCUCAAAUAGAGAGAUUAAGCUAUCUCGGUUCUAAAGACACCAAAAUUACUAAAAAUGAGACAAAUAAACUUACCCAAUUAGCCUUUGAAACCUUUUGUUCUCUCUCCUAGGGUUUUCAUGUGUUUUUAGGUUGAAGAUGAUGAAAAUAAGAUGAUAUAAUUCCUUUCCAUCUUUUAAUUAAUCAUGUAUUUUGGUAUUUCCAAUUUAGUCCCUUAUCUAUUUCUAUAAUUCCAUGGAUGAGUCACCAUAAAAAUCUACAUACCUUUAUUAAUGGUCUAAUUACCAUAUAAGAACCUUAACUUUUAAAUUCCAUAACUAUUUGAUCCUUAUAGCUACUAAAAUUCAACUUUCACAUUUUAUACGAUUUAGUCCUCGUAAUUAGGCACUAAUUCGAUAAAAUUUUCAUAUCAAAAUUUUCACACGUUAUUUCUAUCAUAUUAUGGGCCAUAUGGUAAAAAAAAUAAAUAUAUUUUGAAUCAUAUUUGUGGUCUUGAAACAACUGUUCCGAUUUCACUGAAAAAUGAGCUGUUACAAUUUGAAGUUAGUUAUUUGAUUUUAAUAUUGCAUACGUGAUUAUUCCUCUACAAAUUAUUAUUCUAUUUUGCCACAGCCUGAUUCAUAUAGUUUAUAGUAAUAGCUUAAUCGAAUUAAUCCUAUUUUAUCCUUGAGGAGAUGAUCUUACUUACUAUUUUAUUACUUUAUUCGACGUGUAUACUUGCACAUUCGCAUAUUAUAUUCACACGCAACGCCUGCUUUCCAAUUAAUUCCUUAGUAAUGUGCUAAUAAUAGGUGAAAAAUAUAGCAAACAAUUUAAUCUGUGUGGCAAAAGACAUUUGUACAAAUGUGUCCAUUUAUAGCUUAACUUAUACUUAAACCAAAUGGUUUGGCCAUUACUCUAGCUUUUCUAGCUCCAACUACAGUUAUGAAGGUGGUGGCUUGCCAAAAAUCUUUUCUUUUUUUAUGCUAUUUUCCUCUUCUACUUGUUUCAUUUAUAAUCACUUUAUUUGUUCAUGAAUAGUUUCUUUUUAAAACUCCAAGAAGUUAAGAAAUAUCAAUUUCAACAGGGAUUUUACUGGAACGUAGUCAUUGUAAUAGAGUAUUAAUGUUAAGUUGUUUAAUUUGCAUUUUUAAAAUCGAUUCUUCAAUUGUGAUUUACCUAGUAAACUUUUUCAUUUAUUGAUUAUCUGACUACUUGGAAAUGUGUUGUGAAUAAUAAUAUGAGUAUAGGGUUUCACAUAUCGAGUUUUCUAACUUGUUAAGCGAGAAUUUUCCAAGAGGAUCUGUUGGUUUCUGUUUAAGGUUUCUUUACGUGUAAGGUUCCUUUUAAAGUCUUUGCCUACAAUGUUCAAUUACUUUUUAUGUUAUUUUCACUGACAGGAACUUGUUGAAAUUCGAGUACUUCUUUUUUUUUUGGUGUUUUCGAUUGAAAAACAACAUCACAAAGAUUUGUUGGCUCCUGAAAGUAACUCAGCUAGUGAUUUAUAGUAUCUUUAUGCUACAUUGUAUAGGUUUCGAGUCAAAGUGGAAUGGACUGUGAAGGGCUUGAAACUUAUUAAAUGUGUUAAAUCUUUAAAUAUAAAUAAAAUACAUUACAUUAAAUCUAUAUUAUUUGUUUUUACGUUUACAUGAGAUCCUUUUAUUAUACAUGUCUAACGGCACAAAAACAAUUUGUAAUUAAUGAAAAUAUGUCAAAAAAAAAUAUAUACAAUAUAACAAUUUCAUCAUUUCUUUUGCUACAUUUCAACAUCUGUCUCUAAGUAAAAAUAUUUGAGACAAGAGAAAAACAUGUAUUUUCCAUUUUUUUAAAUUAUUCUUUAAGUAAUAUAUAUUAUGACAUAUAAAUUAAUGACAUCAUGUAACUUUUUCUUAAUGUAUGAACAUUAUGUUUGGAUGUAAAAUAUAAUUCUCAAGCUAUUUAUUACUUCUAAUCUUUUGUUUUUUUAGAGGAUAAUUAAAUUAUUUAUUUCACUAAUGAUAUUUUAACACAUCUUUAAAAAAAUAUGAUUAAAUUAUUUAUUUUUAUUAAAUUAUGUUUAAUAAUAAUCCUAUUAAAAUUUAAUAACAAUAACAAUAACAAUAAUAAUCUAUUUAAAAAAUUUCUACUCAGGGUACUCUAGUCAUUUCAACUUUUUUUCUUAUGCUAUUACAGCUCUAUUCGAUUCAAACGUAUACAAGAAUGCUAUUACAGUUUUAUUUCAUUCCAUUUAAUCAAACAAUUGAAUUACUGAUUACAACUUUAUUCCAUAACAGCUUUAUUUCAUUAUGGUAAACCAAACAUGAUGUAAUAGUAUUUUAUUUUUUAUGUUAACAUUAAAUUUACAUUAUUUUUUAUUUCUUUUAAAAACAUUGAUAAACACUAUUAAUUUGUGUAUGGCGAGUAUGCAAAUAUACAUAUACAAAAAAACAAAAUAGGAAAAUUGACUUUGUUGGCAUUGUUUUUUUGAUGACAUUUGGCAAAUCAAUUAAUCCUCACAUCAAUUGGUAAAUUCUUGCAUUGAUUUUAGUGUAAUUACAAUCCAACUUUAUUACCGGUCAUCUCCUCAUUCAUCUCAUUUUCUAGAUGGUUAAUUACAGGAAAAAAAUAGUUUGAUUGUGUAUUGAUUUAAUUUUGAAUAUAUAUUAUGGAAAUUGUUUUUUGAAAAAUUCUCCUAUCCUCAUUCAUCUCAUACAAUAUUUUUUUUUUCAAUUCAUUUGAUUUUUUACUAAACAUAUGCAUUGAAUUUUUUCAAAUCAGAACUUUAUAUUUUCUUUAAUUUUAGCUUUCCUAAAAUUUGCACUAUAUAAAAAAUUAUAUUAAAAUUUAUCUUAAUUUCAUAAUUAUUCUUUUACUUAUAUAAUUAUAUAAAAUAGUUGAUUAUUAAAAUUACAAACUAAAAAAUAUAAUUUCAUAAAAAUAAAAAAAAAUUAAAUAAAAUAUAAAUAUAACAUUUAUUUUUUAUCCAACCUAUCGGGCUAGAAAUAAGGAAAAACAGGUAACCUUACUUUUUUUAUUUUCUUUAUUUUAUAUAUGAUAGCAUACAUACACAUCAUAUCAUAACAUAUCAUAUAUAUAUAUAAUAAAAUAGAAUUUUGAAAUAACUUUAUUGUAUGGUUCAAAUUUAAAACAAUCAUAUUACAUUUUUCUUUGUCUUUUGACACGCUUUCUCUAUGUCUUUUGACAUGCCUUUUGCUAUUGCUAGCACUAUUCUUCUUUUCUGUUCUAUUUGUCAAUUUUCUCUUUGUUUUGUUUUUUGGAUUUGGUGUUUAUGAAAGACUCAAUAGCAUAUCUUUCUCUUGAAGAUGAGAAAGAAGAGACCAUUCACUUGGGGGUUGAUGUGUCUGAACGUGAAACAUCAUAUGCAAACUGUUAUCUAGGAACAUUUCUUACAUCUAGUGUUGUUAAUUUUCAAGCGAUGAAAUUGACGUUGGCUAAUGUUUGGUGUCCUAUAGGACGUGUUUCCAUCUCGGAUCUAGGGCACGAGCGAUUUCUAUUCCAUUUUUAUUUCGAAGUUGAUGUGGUCAGAGUCAAAAGAAAUGGUCCUUGGACCUUUAACUCUCAUAUUCUAGUAUUACAUCCACUUAAGGAGGGGGACAACCCUCUUUCUAUUCCGUUAUUUUGGGUGGAAUUUUGGACGUAAAUUUAUGAACUACCGCUUGGAUCCAUGUUUGAAACUUUAGCUCGCCAGUUGGGCAGUUUUAUCGGCACUUUUGUUGAGUAUGAUGUAGCAAUAAUUCAAUUGGGUUAUAAAAGAAUAAUGCGGGUAAGGGUGAGACUUGAUGUUAGAAAACCAUUAAGAAUAAGGAAAAAAAACUCACUAUCCCGAAUAGUGAGUCAAUUUUUGUGCGAUUUGAAUAUGAAAAGCUCAUUUUAUUUUGCUUUCCCUAUCGUAAGUUAGGGCAUGGUGAAAGUUUUUGUCCAAUUAGAGCCCAUAGUCCGCGAUAGAAAUAUAUGUUUCGAUGGGCUAUCUCUCUACAGGCCUAGUUAAAGAGAAAUUCGGCUUGGAAGAGAAAAUGGUUGGUGGAGGACAAAAGGGGUGAUGGCUCCAAAUCCGGUAACUCCAUAAAAUUUGCAGAAAUGAUAUAUUAUGGGAUUCCUUAAUCGGGGCAAGUUAAUCAGAGGGCUUAUUCAGGAUUUAUUUCCAAUUAUUCUCUUCUUAUAAAUAAGGUGGUCAAUGCACCUUUAGUUUUAGGCCAAUUAAAAGUAGUCAAUUUAGGUCAAGCGUCUAAAGACUGUGGCAACGAUUAUGACGUAGAUAUGGUUCACUACGAAGAGGAACAUAGCCCAAUAAAACACAGUGAUGGGCUAAAGCGACCCUGGGUUUGGUCAACUCCUUCAAGAGUUUCUUUUCAUGAAGAUUCGAAUGAAGCACUAGGUACCCUGCUACAGGUACCUAACACUAAUAGAUUGGAAGGCCUGCUCUGAACACAAUGAAGCUGCUUAGUUGGAACAUUUUAGGCUUGGAGAGGUUUCAGAUAGUUCGUCGUCUCCAGCAUAUGCUGACAAAUAUCAAUCCCUUUGUAGUUUUCUUAAUAGAGACAAAACUACAAGGUUCUACGAUGGUGGAGGUAAGACGUAAAUGUGGAUUCCUGAAUGGGAUUAACGUUGACUCGAAUGGUAGAAGUGGGGGUUUAUCAUUGGGUUGGCGUAAUGAUUGCAAGGUAUCACGAUCUUUUUCGAUGAGGCAGAUUAAUAUGAUGGUUGAUGAAGAUAUAUAUGGUAAAACUUGGAGAUGUACGAGGUUUUAUAGAGCACCAGAGGAGAGUCAGAGGAAGGCAUCAUGGAAUUUAAUGCACUCUGUGGAUGAUUGUUCCCAUAUCCCUUGGUUGGUUAUUGAGGAUUUCAGUGAAAUAGUUUAUUUGUCAGAAAAGAAAGGAGGGUUACCUCAAAGGUAGAUACAAAUGAGUAGAUUUCAAGAAACUUUUUUCUGAUUGCUCUCUUAUAGACUUGGGGCAUAUUGGUCAAUGCUUUACAUGGGAGAGAGGAUGGGCUUACGCAAAUAACAUUCGGGAAUGGCUAGAUUGUUAGGUUAUUAAUAAAGCUUAGGGUGAUUUAUUUUAGAACUACAAAUUGAAUCUUCUUCCUCAUGCUUUUUCUUAUUAGAGUCCCUUAUUAUUAUAGUCUGAUUGAGGAAAUAAUCGUGGGAAAUACUGACAUUUUAGAUUCGAAGCUUCUUGGUUAUUAAAGGAUACGUAUGAGCCGGAGGUGCUAAAAUUAUGGAAUGAGAAUUUGGGUGAUGUUCCUAAUAGACUAAAAGCGAUUGGUGGGCGUCUUGAUUUGUGGUUUUGUCGUAUUAAAAAUGGGAGAGUUUUAUAAUAAUAAUAAAAAGAUCUUAAGAUGCAAUUCACUCGGUUGACUGAAUCUUAUCGUCCAAUAAGGUAUUGAGUGAAAUUAUUAAUACCAAAUUACCUCUUAAUUUAGAAACGGACCGAGAGGAACUUUAUUGCAAGCAAUGGAAACACAAAAAUAUAGACUUUUUCAUGUCAUUUUUAACUCAAAUUCAUGCAGUUUCAUAGUAAUUCUUGUUGAAAAAUAUAAUAUAAUUAUAAAAUAAUUAAAUUGUACUCAAAUUAUUAACAUAUUAAUUUUGAAUUAAUUUUAUAAUAAAUUUUCAUAAAUUUUCAUUUAUUUUCAACAAAUUUGCAUAAAGAGUAAAAAUUGACUCGACAAAAACUGCUAGAAGCUCAAAAUCGGGAAGCGUUUUUUGACGCAUUGAAGCGAAUUGAUUUUUCAGCCUAAAAUGGUCCAAAUUAUGAAUAUUAAUACAUAAUAUAAUUAACUUUUAUUUUUAUCCAAUUUAUUUUGGGUUAAAUAAUUAUUAUUAAUUAUAUUUGGAAAGGAGUCCCAGUUGUGCUAAUACAAAAGAUUGAUCCAACCGAGCAAUCGGUCUGCCCAAUACCGUCCAACAUGCUGACCCAAUCAGCUCAAAAUAGCUAAUUUAUUAACUUGCGAAUUAGCCCUUUAUGUUUCCUUGAAAUCGCAUUCAAACCCUUCCACUUUCUGUGCUUUUAAAGAUUUGCCCCAAGCUAAAUUUAGCAAAGUUUGAAACAUUCAAACUUUGCUACAUGUGUGGCUGGCCAAGGGGGUAUAUGGCGGCUAAUUUUUUUCUAUUUUUAACAACCAAUCCCACCUAUAAAUACCCCAUUCACCUAUUUAUUAAACACACCUCUCAUUCCACACAUCUCUCUCUCUUUCACUCACUUUCUCUCAUUUGUUUCCCAUUUUCUCUUCUAAUUUCCUUUGCCAAUUUCCCUAUUUGAAGAUAACCCUUCAACCACCUUGGAUAGUAACAUUCAAGUGCUUGUAGAAGCCUCAAUUCAACAGAAUGAGCGAAGAAGGAAGAGCGGAGCAAACUAGUCAGGCUUCAGAGAAACGGCGGAUUUGAUUCUAGUUUUCUAUCCUUUAACUUUUAUUGUUGUUGUUAUGAACAUAUCUAUGAAUAUUUGUUAUGUUUUUAUUCUUAAUUUAAUUAAAAUGACUUAAAUUUAAUUUGUGUUAGGUUGACUGCAUUUCAUCUACUUAAGUUAUUAAAAUUAUGUUUGUAUUGUUAUAGGUCUUAAUAAAUUGUUUGAUUAUGUAAAACCAUGAUUAUGUUAUACUUGCACUAUGAUUGUGAGGUAACUAAUGAAUUAAUUAUUAACCGUAUUGAAAUUGUAAUUCAUUAACACAAUACUCAAUCAGUGCAUGUUUAUUCUUCUAAGGUAGUUGAGGGUUAAAUUAGCGACUAUAUUAAAUGGUACAUUAGUCUUGCAUAACUUACAAUAUUAUUGUGAUUAAACUGUUUCAAUAUGGAAAUACAUUGUUACCUCACUUAAUCUUUUACUUAUUAAAAUUGAUUAAUUGUUUAAAUUGGCAUAGUAAUAUGUUCAAGAGACUAGUUAAUUUAGCAAGUAUGUAUGUGCUAUAGUUAAUAAAUUACCAAGUUACCGUGAAUUUAUUCGUAACAACGUGAAUAUUGUUUUAGUAAUAUUAAGUUAAGAAAUGUAAUUGAUCUAACACAAUUAUGUCAUAUUGAUUAAACUUACUUUUCAAAAAUCGUGCAUUGGAAUUUUUUACCUUUUAAUAUUGAUUAAACUUACUUUUCAAAAAUCGCGCAUUGGAAUUUUUUACCUUUUAAUUGUUCUUAGUUAAUUUACUUAGUUAAAACCUAGUUUUAUUCAACCCUUUUUCAAAGCAAACGAUUUUCCUUCACCAAAGUGUUUUUAAUUGCAUUUCAUAAAUAUUUCUUUACAUAAUCCCUAUAGGUACAAUAACUUGACAUUUACUUGCUACUUUAUUACUUGUUGCAAUUGUGUACACUUGCACAUUUCCAUUGUUUCAAGCAGCGUGCAUGAGCUAACUAGCUAAAAAAUGGUGACAGCAACACAUCCUUUUUUCCAUAAGUUUGCUACAAAAAGAUGUCGGCGAAAUAAGGUUGAUAGUCUUUCGGAUUCUAAUAGUUUGAAGUACAAGAGUAAUGAGGAGAUGUUGUCGCUCGCCACUGAUUAGUUUGACUCCCUUUCACAUUGAAUGGAAUUAGAAAUCUCGAAGCUAUCUUGGAAGGGAUUGCUCCGUGUAUAUCCAGAACGAUAAAUGAGAAUCUUGAACAGGACUUUUCUUAUGAGGAAGUGUGUGUGGCUCUAAAAUCUUUGAAUCCAUUGAAGGCUUUUGGAGAGGAUGGUUUAGGUGCCGUAUUUUAUCAACAGUUUUGGCACAUUGUUGGAAAGGAGGUAGCAGACUACUGUACAACGAGUUUUAAUGGUGGUCAUAAUAUUGCCGACAUAAAUCAAACAUAGAUUGUGUUGAUCCCUAAGGUUAGCUGUCCUACGCUCAUGACUUACUUUCGACCCAUUAGUCUAUGUAAUAUCCUCUACAAAAUUAUUACAAAAAUGUUAGUGAACAGAUUCCAAAAAGUCUUCCACUAUUGUAUAGAUGAGGGGCGAAGUGCAUUUGUCUUGGGGCGACUAAUCAUUGAUAAUAUCAUCACUGCAUAUGAAAUUUUACAUUCCAUGAGGAGGAAAAGAGUUAGGAAUGAGGGGUCUUUUGCUCUAAAUCUUGACAUAAGUAAAGCGUAUGACAAGGUUAAAUGGGCUUUCAUUAGGGCCAUGCUUAAAAGAUUGGGUUUUUCAGAGUUGUGGGUUUAAAAAAUUAUGCGUUGUAUUGAAACGGUAUCUUAUUCAGUGGUUAUGAACAGUGAGGUGGGAAAUUUGUUUCUUCCUUCUCAGGGCCUUAGACAAAAGGAUCCGCUUAGGUCUUAUUUGUUUCUCAUUUGUGGAGAGGGACUUUCAGCUUUUCUUCGGACGACAGUUGUGAAUGGGGAUCUUAAAGGUGUUCCAAUUAACAAGCAUGCCCUUUUAUUACCUAUUCGUUUUUCGCUGAUGACAGUCUUAUUUUUGGGAAGGCCACAACUGAAGGAGCCAUGGCGCUUAAAGAAAAAAUGGAGACUUAUGCUUAGAGUUCAGGACAAUUGAUAAAUUUCGACAAGUCUGGUAUGUUCUUUAGUUCCAAUGUUGUGCGGAGAAACAGAGAGGAGAUUUAUCAAAUUCUAGGUGUUAAUCUGAAUAUGAAUAAAGAAAAGUAUUUGGGGCUUCCUUCGGUUGUAGGAAAAACAAAAAGGAGGCAUUUAGGGAGGAAAAAAGAAAGGCUACUGAAAAAUGUAUCUAGUUGUAGUUCAAGAAUGCUUUCGGUGGGGGGAAAGGAAGUUUUAAUUAAAGCAGUGUAAUAGGCAAUCCCCAUGUAUGCAAUUUUUUUUUUUGCUACCCAAUUCUUUUUGUAAAGAACUCGAAUAUAUUACUGCUAAAUUUUGAUGGCAAAAGAAAGCUGGAAGAAAGGGUUUACAUUGGUGUUCUUGGAACUCAUUUUGUAUUCCAAAAUGGAAUGAAGGUAUGGGUUUCAAAGAUUUAUAUAAGUUUAAUAUUGCUUUACUAGCAAUGCAGGGAUGGUGACUGAUAGAAACUCUAGACUCUUUAACAGUCAGAUUACUUCGAGCAAAAUAUAAUUAUGGGUCUAACUUUUUGGAUACCUUAUUGGGUUCUAACCCAUCUCUGAUUUUGAGAAGUAUAUAGUGCUACAAAGCUUUACUUCAAUCUGAUAUUGGGUGGAGGAUUGGAUCAAGGUUAUCAAUUUUAAUAUCGAAGGAUUAUUGGCUACCGGGGAGGAGUAAAGCACGAGUUAGUAUGAGUAGAGUAGAGGGCUUGGAGUAUGUAAGUGAUUUGAUUAUCCCAAAUCCAACUCGAUGGGAUAGACAACAAAUCUAUUCAACUUUUUUAGAGGAAGGAGGAAAUAAGUUAGUAAGUAUCCCUCUCCCUACUACAAAUCAAUCUGAUAAAACAGCUUGGAUUAGAGAACAUUUUGAUUGGGUACUUAUUCUGUCAAAAGUGGUUAUAAAGCCCUUUUAGAGCCUUCCUAGUUGAGUAAUUUGGAGCAGUUCAAUUUUAAGCAAAUUUGGAGUUUAAUGCCAAAAUUCACAUUUUAUUAUGGAGAUUUGAUAAAAAUUACAUUCCUACUUUUCAAAACUUGCACUUUAGAAGAAUUAUGCACGAUAAUAAUUGCCCGCGUUAUCGGGAUUGUAGUGAAUCGACUGUUCAUGUUGAGCGAGACUGCACGUUUGCUAUGCAGGUCUGGUCAAAGUUAAAUUAUCGGUGGCCAAGUUAUGUUGCAGAUUUGAAUUUCAACGAGUGGUUAAACUAGCUAUUCGUUAAUUCUGCCAGUAAUACUAAAGAGGAAAUUGCCAUUACAAUAUGGGCAAUCUAGUUUGCCCUUAACAAGCAACUGCAUGAAAGAGAAAUGUAAAGUGUGAGGAGGUUAUUACCUUUAUUCGGGGAUAUGGUAGGGGAUUAUAGAGAGAUGUCAUGAAUGUUAAAGCAUCCCAGACCCCGAGCCUUAAUUAAUUGGGAGCCUCCACCUAUGAACUUGGUCAAAGUGAAUGUGGACGUUGGGUUUUCUAAGGCAAAUAAUCGAGCAGUUCAGGGUUUCUAAUUAGGAAUAAUUACGGUAAUUUAAUGGGCUCGAGAUUCAGAAUGCAUAACCUGGUUAGGAUGGUGGUGUUGGCCGAAGCAAUGGCUGUUCUGCAUGGUCUUCAGUUUGCGAGGGAUAUGGGUUUCUCGAGAGUGAUCCUGGAAAGCAAUUCGAAAAUGGUUAUUAGGAAUCUCCAAGCAUCGGAGGAGGAUUAUUCAGAGACAAGGCGAAUUACCUGGGAUGUGAAGACUCUGGCGAGGGGCUUCGCGUCUUGUCGUUUCGAAUUCUUCAAGAGAGAAGGAAAUAAACUAGUGCAUGCAAUGGCGUCUGAAGCAAUGAAACACUCGGAAGAUUCAUUCCGGUUAAAGGAUGCUCAGCUUCGGGACUUGGAACUGGGGAUCUAGAUCAUUGUUUCCACCAACCGUCGUAGUUGCCUCCCUAUUCUGUCUGCAGUUCUUGGGUGAGAAUGUUUGCAACUCUAUGCAUCGAAUCUCAACUCUCUUCCUCUAGUUGAUGGCUCUGUUUGCCAAUCUUGGGAACGUUUCAGGCGGUUUUGGGUUGCUGGUUAUCGAAGGGUUUGGAAGAAGCUCCUGGAUGUGUUUCGUUUGUUACUUUAUUGUUUCUAAUUUGUUUUUUAUCUGACUUUUGUUGGGUGUUGUUUUGCUUUUGUUUGGUUUGGGUUUUGUUCUACUUUUGUUGUGUUUGGGUUUUAUUUGUAAUUUGUUUUGGACUUCCAAGCCUAGUUGAAGCAAAACGGACCGUAUUUUCAAAAAAUAAAAAUAAUUUUACAAUAAUUUUAAAAUAAUUUUAGUAACAAUUAGUUCUAAAACAAUUCUAAGACAUUUGUCACCUAUUACAUGUUGACAUAUCAACAUAGUUUGAUUUUAUAAUUAAAUUAUUAGUGAAACAUUAUAAAAAAAUAAAAUAGAUUCAUAAUUAAUAAGUGCAUUUCAAUUAAUACAUACAAUUAGCUAGUAUCACAUAUAUAUAUACAUAUUAAAUCACAUAUAUUAAAAGGUUUUAGUUAAAAAUGAAAAUAUACACAUGUACACACCCUUUUUAACUUAUUUCCUCCCUAAAUUCUUAAAAUAUUGAGGGCUUCACAAUUUAACACAUCUUCCAAAUAGUAUAGAAAUUAAUUUACUUAAUAACCUUUUUAAAAUUAUCCAUGAAUUUGACUAAUUAUUUUAAAUAUUUAUUAAUUGAAUAUUGUCCACUUAUAUUUUCAAUAAAAUUGAUUAAUUUUAUCUCAAAUCAUAAACUAAUAAUUCAAAUGAAAUUCUCAGUUUGUUUUACUUUAAAGACAAAAGUAAAUUUUUUUAAUUUAUUUUAUUUUUAAGUUAAUUUAAACAUUUUUAGAUGAAUAUAAUUCCUUAUGCCUAUAACAUGGUAAUACUAUUCUUUUAAAAAGUCAUAAAGCAUAUAAGACACAAUAUCUUAAACAAUAUAUCAAUAUAAUAUAUAUAUAUAGACACAUAAUACGCAUGUUCUUUUUUUCUAUAUUGAUUUAUAUAUUAAUUAAUUUAAUUAUUUAAAAUUUUACAAUAGUUCAGAUUUAUGUAAUAACGAAUAACGAUAAUUUUUAACAUGAAUAUAGAUUUGGUAUAUAUGAGCAUUAAUUUAUAUGAAAUUACAUUAAAAAUAUUAAAUUAUGUACUUAAAUAUUUAUUUUUUAAAAUUAACAACAUACGUAAAAAAUACCAUAUAUGAGUUUUACAAUUUCUAUAAUAUCAUAAACUAAAGGGUAAACUAUAAAAAUAGUCACUUUUAUUUGUCUCAGAUUACAUUUUUGUCACUUAUAUUUAAAAUAUUACAUUUUAGUCACUUACGUUAUCGUUUUGUUACGAAGUGGUCACUUUACCGUUAAGCUUCAUUACCUCCCUAACGGCGGUCCUACGUGGCAGUCCAAAUGAGUUUUAAAUGCCAACUUGGAUGUCCUACGUGGCAGUCCAAAUUAAAUUUAUUUAAUUAAAAACCUAUUUUUAUUUCAACAACUAGACAUCCAAGUUAACAUUUAGAACUCAUUUAGAUUGCCAUGUAGGACUGUCGUUAGGGAAAUAACAGAGUUUAAUAAUAGAGUGGCCACUUCGUAAUAAAACGAUAACAUAAGUGACUAAAAUGUAAUUUCAAAUGUAAGUGACUAAAAUGUAAUCUGAGCAAACAAAAGUGACUAUUUUUGUAGUUUAUCCUAAAUUAAUAAUAAAGUAUUAAUAUUUCUAUUUUUUAAAAUUAUUUUUCAAACUUUACAGAUCUUAAAAUUAUUUGAAAUUAAUAUAAUUUAAUAGACAUAUAUAACAAACUCGUGCAUCGCACAAGAUAAAAAUAUAUAUACUACAGCAAUUUAAAGUUACAAUUAAUGUAGAGUCAAGAGUGCCCUCUUAGGUUUCCCUAAGAAAUAGUGAAUACUGUGGUUGGGAAGAAGACGAGCGGUGACUCUGAAACGAUGGAUAAUAGGAACGAGAUUACUCUCCUUAAAGAAGAAUUAAUUCAAUUAACAGCGAAAAGUUCGUUAGUCACUCCAUCCGAGAAUCCGACGCUGAUCUGUUCGAUUUGGACAAGGAAAUCGUAUAAUCUAGACAAUCUGAGAGCGCAAUUAAGGAGUAUCUGGAAAACAAAAAAGAAGUUUGAGAUUCUUAUUACUGGUCAGAAUUUAUUUACAAUUUCUUUCGAAGAUGAGGAAGAUUUAGAACAGAUCUUGGAGGGCCGCCCAUGGUUUUUCCAAGAACAAUUAAUCAUCUUCGAUAAAUUGACAAAACCUGUAGAACGUAAUAAGAUUCAAUUGAUUUUCUCUCCUUUCUAGUUAAAGGUUGCCCCAUGUCCACCUGAGUAUGAUAAGAAACAUUUGAUACAUGCAACUGAAUCUACCUUUAGGGGAGUAAUUCGAGCCGAGAUAAAGAGGGAAUUCUGCCGAAUUAGAGUUAAUUUGAAUAUUCAAAAAUAGCUGAGAAGAGGUAUUUUUGUUUCUCCGAAUGGAAGAGGGAAAAUCUUGUUAUCCUUUAAUUAUGAAAAUCUCCCAACUUUCUGCUUUGGUUGUGGAUGGAUGGGUCAUGGGGUUAAAGAAUGUUUCGAAAAACAAUUUAGAGAAUGCAGUAGGACAGAAGAUGAAUAUCCUUUCUCGCUAGCACUUAAGGCAGAAUCUUCCAUUAUUGGGAAAGAAAGCUUAAUACUUGGCUCACUAAUGAAAAAAUCAAUGAAGUAGUGUUUUUUUCAUAGGGGAAGAAGCGGCGAACAAAGAGGCUGAUCUACUACUGGGAGCGACGUACCUGCCUCACUGGCUGGAGAAGGAAGUGGUUUCGAAAUAGGAUUCUAUGAUUCAGGAAAUGAAAAAUGUAACACCCCUUACCCGUAUCCAAGGCCGGAACAGGGUACGAGGCAUUACCAGACUUAACCAUACACAUAGACGAAAACCAGGCCAUAAAAUUUCAUUUAAUUCAAAACUUUUCGAAUACAUACAUUGACUCAUAUUUAAAGACAUAUAACGUAACAUAAAUGAGCACUUACACAUCCAUAAUCAUGCAAUAACAUGUCAUUCACUUUAAACAUAUUUGCUUACCAUGCUGUAUAUAAUAUACAUUCUUACAUUAACUAGAACUAGACAUGCUAAAUCUUAUUCUCAUUUUAUACCAUCAUAAUGUAGUUACCAAUUUGUCCAUUAAACAUCCAUAUUCAAGGAAACAUUACUCAUUUCCAUUUAAUUCAUAAUCAACUGGCCUGCAUUUAACUUACUGGAUGUAUUACCAAUCAUGCAUAACAAACAAAACUAACUAUAUCAUCACAUCAAAACAUAAAACAUGGCAUGAUUAAUUAAACUUAUAAACCAUAAUGGAUAAAGACCACAUCUCAUGAUCAUAUACGAUAACUCAAUGCAGACUGAUACAUAUGAUCAAAGUCAUAAUAAUAAUACAUAUCACAAACCAACUUCCUAUGCAUGCCACUCACCUGAUAUUUCUAAUAUUUAAAUUAAUUCCCUCAAAAAUGAUAUUUUGAUAGUGUGAUUUUACCUCUGACGAUCUCUAACCCUGAACCGACCUUCCAAUACUAAAGAAAUGGAGAGAAUGGAUAAGCUUUACGCUUAGUAAGUCCAUAUGAAAUUAAUAAGCAAUUACUAACAUGCUUUUCAAGAUAAAAUACUAUAAUUGUACAAUUACACAUGUUUAGGUUAAGCUGUUUUAUCGAGUUAUAGUUACUAAAUCAUUCAUAUAUAAAGCUACAAAACUCUAAAUUUAGUUUUGUUAAUUUUUUUGAAACUAGACUCACAUACCUUUCUCCCAUAAAAUUUUCAAAAUUUUUGGUUUAGCCAAUUAGUAUAGUUUAUUCAUGAAAUUUUCCCCUGUUUUGCUGUCCAAUAGUUCUGACCUCUCUUCACUAAAAAUUAUUUAUCUCAUAUUUCGAAGCUCGGUUGAUGUUCCCGUCCAUUCCUCCUGAAAGUAGACUCAUUUAGGAUUCUAUUCAUAUAAAUUAUAACUCAUAAUUAUUUUUUUACAAUUUUUAACGAUUUUUCCAAGUCAAAACAGGAGAUCUCAAAUUCAUUUUGACACUGUCUCACAAAAAUUAGAAUAUCACAUAAUAUAGAACUAUUUUGCUCCCCCUGUUUCUUUUAUAUGAAAAUAGACUCAUUAAUCUUUAAUUCCAUAAUUUUUUUGAAAUUCAAUUCAACUUACAUAAUAUUUUGUGAAUUUUUAAAGUCACACAACUGCUGCUGUCCAACACUGUUUUACUACUAAAAUUCACUUACAUAAUUUCACUUAAUCCAUUUUGUCUUAUCGAAGUUCACUCAAAUAUCGAGCACAUUGCUCAUAAUUUUCAUAAACAUAUACCUGCAAUUAUUCACCAUAUAAUCAUGUUCAAAUAUAUUUUUACUUAAUCGAUUUUCCCGUUGAACUCUUUGGAAUAAAAACUGAUACUCAGUUGCCUGCACAUAUUUUCACUUGUAGACAAGGCUAUCUAGUACGCAUAGUAGCCUACACUUAGUACUACACAUGCGACCAAUUAUCCGGUACACGUAGUAGUCUGCACUUAGUAUUACACACGUGACCUAACCAUCUGAUACACGUAGUAGCCUGCACUUAGUACUACACACGUGAUCAAAGUUAUCGGGUACGCAUAGUAGCCUACACUUAGUACUACACAUGCGACCAAUUAUCCGGUACACGUAGUAGCCUGCACUUAGUACUACACACGUAACCUCACAAUAGAUCAUUCGUAUCGUUUCUAUUCCAAAGGCUCAACCGGAAAAUUCCUCACUUUCCAGCAUGUUACAUAUUUAUUCAUAGUCCUUUUUCAAUUUGCAAUUUAUAACAAAUAAUCAUUCUAUAGGCAGUCACAUUUCAUAUGAUAACAAAAUAUAAUAAAAUAAAAAAAAUCGAUAAAUUAUUUACGUACAAACUUGUCGAAAUCUCAUCAGGUACAACCCAUAUAAUAGUAAUUUAACAUUCAAUUCAUGUAACAAUAAUUUGCCAUUCAAUUUCACGACACAACAAGCAUCACAUUUUCCAUAUUAUACACACCAUCCAUCAACUUCUCCUAAACAUAUUAAAUCAUACAAUUUAUGCCAUAACAAUAGAAAAUUACAAUUCAAGUAUGGUAUUGCAUUAUUAUUAACACACGAACUUACCUCGUAUACGAAAAUGGCCAUUUUUACCAUUUUAUCUACAACUUAGUAUUUUGUCAAUUUUAGCUCGAAUUUCAAUUUUCCUUGCUCUAUCAUUACAAAUAUAGCCUAAUUAGGAAUCACAUUAUUCAAAAAAUCAUAUUUUGAUAAAAUUAAAAUUUUGCCCCUAAACUUUGUCAAAAUUACAUUUUUACCCCUAGGCUCAUAAAUUGAACUUCAUCCUAUUUUCUUAUGUUUUAUGACAUGCUGGUCAUUUUUCCCUUCUAUAACAACAUCAAAUUCACACUCUAACAUGUACUUAUGAACAUUAGGUAUUUUUACCGAUUAUGUCGUUUUACUCAUUUUCACGUAAAAUCGCUUAGUAAAAGUUGUUUAACACAAUUUCAAGCUUCAUAUUUUACCAUAAAACAUAAAAAAUAAACACAUUUCACCUAUGGGUAUUUUUUUAAAUAUAAACCUUUGGUUAAAUUAUUGCUAGAUUAAGCUUAACCAAGUUACCAGGAUUUCAAAAAUAUAAAGAACUUUAAAAACGGAGCUAAGGAGCACUUAGAAUCGAGCUUGGGAGUUUGAACAAACCUUAACCAUGGCUGCUGCUGGUAAAAAUGGUUAAAUGAAGAAGAUGAUAGCUAAUUUGGCUUAUUUCCCUUUUUAAUUCUUUUAAUUAUUAGUUUACCAAAAUACCCUUAACUUAAAAAUAUUUUAUUACUCAUUUCAUGUCUAUUUUUGUACAGAAAUUAACCAAUGGUCUAAUUACCAUUUAAGGACCCUCAAUUUAAAAUUUCAUAACAAUUGGACACCUCUAGUAUGUAGAACUCAACUUUUACACUUUUUACGAUUUAGUCCUUUUAACUAAAUUAAGUACCCGGAUGUCAAAAUUUUCAAACGAAAUUUUCACGAAAUUAUCCCGUAAAAUCGUAGACCAUAAAAAUAUAAUAAAAAUAAAUUUUUUGUCGUCAGAUUUUUGGUCUCGAAACCACUGUUCCGACUAAGCCCAAAAUUAGAGUGUUACAGAAAAAUUACAAGAACACUCUAGAGAUAACGAUGAAAGAAUUUUGCUGCAAUAUCACCUAUAAAAGGGAAGGAAACUUUAAGAGAUAAUGAUGGAAAAAUCUCGCCUCAAAAUUUACCUAUAAAAGGGGAGGCACAAUUAAACAACAAUUGACACAAUAUUGAAGAUGGCCAAAAGUAAACUCAAUGCAAAUGGGGCUUACAGAAGAGGUAGAUGAAUCUAACACAAGCUGGUUAACACAAGCUGGUAUAAUAAUGAUGAUCAUUUUAAAAUUAAUUCUAAACUUGUGGGACCCAAUAGCCCAAUAGAGUUGCUCCAGUUGGGCCACAAGAAAAAAAAAAUAGGCAUCGUUUAUCCAACAGGGGUAAAAGAGAUUCAAAUAUCGGUGAAUUUAUAAAUGGAAAACGAAAAUUUGAUCAAGUGGCAGAGAUAGCUUCAGAAUCAAAUGUUGAAGAUACAACUAAAAAAGAAAAAUACGACGAUGGGAAUAUGAAAGGUUGUACAACAUUAGCAGAGUCUCAGGUUUUCAUGGAGGACGAUGCUAAAUUUUCAUAAAGUAUAUCAGCGGCUGGCAAAUGGCCAGCUAACCGGGAACAAUGAAAAUCCUUUGCUGGAAUGUCUGAGGAUUGGGGAAUCCUCAGACGAAGGCUUCAACACUCGUUGAAGCUUUAUAAACACCAAAUGGUCUUCUUAAUGGAGACAAAAUUGGACAGCAUUCGAAUGGAACAUUUUCAAAAACGAUGUGGCUUUCAAAAUGGAAUGGAUAUUUCAGCAAGUGGUUCAUGUGGUGGAUUAAGUCUUGCAUGGAAUGGAAAUAAUUUAGUUCAAUUUUAUAGCUAUUCAAACAAUCAUUGAUGUGGAGAUUAAUGAAGAGGAUAUCCCAAACAAGUGGCGAUUCACUGGAUUUUAUAGUAAUCCAAAUCAAUCAAGCAAACAGGAGUCGUGGAAUCUUCUUCGUAGAUUAAGGAAUAAUGGGUCAUCACCAUAGUGUAUGUGGAGACUUUAAUGAGAUUAUGUAUGCACAUGAAAAAAUGGGAGGGAUAACAAAGAAUGAGAGACAAAUGGAGGAAUUUCGAAAAGCUUUGGAAGACUGUGAUCUGGCUGACAUGGGUUUCAGUAGACAAAAGUUUACUUGGGAUAGGGGUAACUUUGCAGAUACAAAUAUAAAAGAACGACUUGACAAGGGAGUUACAAAUCGAGAGUGGCUGAACUUGUUUCCUGAGUACUCGGUUCAACAUUUUUCUCUGAUCAUUACCCAAUUUUCAUCCAAACAAUGCCAAAUGUAAAAAGCACUAGAGGUAAUUUUUUUAUAUUCGAAUCUUGGUGGGUAAUUAAGCCAUCAUACAAAGAAGUCAUCUUGGUGACAGAAGCACUCUAGUAAUGUUUUGGAAAAAUUAGAGUAUACCCGUUUGGGUUUAUAGAAAUAGGCGAAAAACAUCAAAGGAGAUCCUGAAAGGAGAUCGAAGUUUCUAAGAGGUAGAUUGGCUGAACUUGAUAGAAAGGAUAGGGAUGAUGAUAUCCUUGUAGAGAUCAUUGAUGUGAAGUUAGAAUUAAACUGGGAGAUAGAGAAGGAGGAGAUGUAUUGGGAACAGAGAGCAAGAUCGAAUUGGUUGAGUUAAGAGGAUAGAAAUACGACUUUUUUUCAUAGUUAAGCAUUUCAAAGAUGUAGAAUGAAUAGAAUAAGAGGGAUGGAAGUUAACGAAGGAAUUCUCAAAAUAGAAGAAGAAGAAUAUUAGAAAACAUAAUAAGAAACUACUUCAUGAAGCUUUUUGAAUCUAAAGGAGUUGGCGAUACAAAUUACCUUCUUUCAGGUGUUAAUUGCACUAUCACUAAAAGCAUGAAUCAACUGUUGGUAGGAAAUUAUAAAGAGGAGGAAAUAAUUGAAGCAAUAAAUAGUAUAAGGCCGACAAAAGCUUCUAGACCUAAUGGAUUUUUUGCCAUCUUCUUUCAAAAACUCUGGCAUAUCGUAGAGAGGGAGGUAGGUGAUUUUUGUUUGGAAGUUCUUAACAAAGGAAAACCCUCAGAUCUUUUAAACCAUACGAAUAUUGUGCUAAUCCCAAAGAACCCCCAUCCGAAAAGUCCAUCAGAAUUUAAACCAAUUAGCCUUUGUUCGAUUUUUUAUAAAAUAAUCUCAAAAUCUAUAACAAACAGGUCCCAAAAAUUACUCGAUUAUUGUAUUGAUCCGACUUAAAGUGUCUUUGUACCGGUAGAUUAAUUACCGGUAUGCCCUUCUUGCAUAUGAAAUUCUACAUUCUAUGAGGAAUAAAGGAUUGGGAAAAAAGGUCUUACGGCUCUUAAGAUUGAUUUGAGCAAAGCCUAUGAUCGGGUGGAGUGGGAUUUCUUGAAGCAAAUGAUGGCUAAAAUAGGAUUUGAUGAGUCUUGGAUUCAGCUUAUUAUGAAAUGCAUCAGCAUUGUUUCGUACUCGAUCAUUUUGAACGAGAGGCCAUGGAAGGUUUUUAAUUCGGGAAGAGGCCUAAGUCAAGGGGAUCCUUUGAGCCCUUUUCUAUUUUCUCAUAUGCAGUGAGGGGCUGUCUACAUUAUUAAGACUUGCUAGUGAAGAAGGAAUAUUGAGAGGAGUAAAAGCGAGUAAAAGAAGCUCACAGAUUAUUCACCUCCUUUUUACGGAUGAUUGUGUUUUAUUUGGGGAAGCAACUGAAAAAGGUACAGAGACUUUUGAAAAGGUUUUAAAGGAAUAUGAAGUAUGCUCAGGGCAAUGCAUCAAUUAUGGAAAGUCGAUAGUUUUCUUUAGCUCAAAUACAACUGAAAUAAUUCGUUCAGCUAUUUCAGAUAGGCUGGGGGUCAAAUGGAAAAACAAUUUAGAGAAAUAUCUGGGCUUUCCGAAUAUGGUAGGUAGGAGGAAAAGGCUAGCAUUCCAACACCUUAAAGACCAUAUUAAAGUAAAAAUUGACUAUUGGAGUUCUCGAUUACUAUCGCAAGGGGGAAAAGAAGUUUUUAUUAAAGCUGUGUUACAAGCAAUUCCAACCUAUACAAUGGGAUGCUUUUUAUUACCGAAGUCAAUAUGUGAAGUUAUGGAACAAAUAAUAUCCAAGUUUUCGUGGAAAAACGGUUAUGGGAAAUGGGGGAUACAUUGGUGCUCAUGGAAUAACUUAUACGAAUUAAAGGAGUUUGGUGGUCUUGGUUAUCGUAAUUUUGCAAAGUUUGAUUUCGCCAUCCUCGCAAAGCUAGGAUGGAGAUUGAUUGAAAAUCCUAAAUCUUUUCUAGCACAGACGUUAAAAGCCAAAUAUUACCAGAAUUUUGAUUUUCUAAACUCAGAGCUAGGGAAUUUACCUUUAUAUACUUGGAAAAGUAUAUGGGCUGCAAAAGGUCUUUUGCAAACAGGACUAUGCUGAAGGGUGGGCAAUGGAUGGAAUAUUAGAGUUGAAGAAGAUGUAUGGGCUCCAAAUGGAAAAAAUCUGCAUAUUCAACAAUUAGUCAGAAGCCAAAAUAUAUUGAAGGUAGCAGACCUGAUUGAUAGCAACACUAGAUCAUGAAAAACAAAGCUAAUUAAAGAUACCUUUUCUGAAGAAGAUGCUCAGAGAAUUCUCCAAAUCCCAAUAGCUUACUCUCCACAGGAUGAUUUUCUGGCUUGGAGAGGUGAAUCAACAGGCGAGUACAUGUAAGGAGUGGGUAUAAAUUAUUAUUACAUGGUAAUUCUAUCAAUAACAAUAGAUACAACCCGAAUGAAAAUAGGAAAUGCUACAAAAAAAUAGUGGAAUAGUGAUCUCCCCUCAAAAUUAAUAAUUAUAGCUUGGAGAGCCACUCUAAACUACCUUCCUACAUUAGCAAAUCUAAGAACUAAAAGGUUAAUUAUUAAUGAAUCCGUCUGCCUGAGGUGUCUGCAAGGAGUGGAGAAUAGAGAACACGUCUUCCACGAAUGUGUUGUCUUAAAGGAAACAUGGGAUAACUUAAAAUUUGUCUGGCCUGAGGAUACAUCUACUAUGGAAUUCAUGGAAUGGUUUACCUGGAUUGUAUUAAACAGUAAUACUGAUAUCUGCCAAACUUUUAUUUGCACCAUCUGGGUUAUCUGGUCUGCUAGGAACAAAUAGAUUCACAAAGGUCAAAAAAUAUCAGGUGCCGAAACAACAAAAUUUACUUUAAAGUACUUACAAGAUCUAAACAACAUUAAUCGAAAAAAGCUUACCUUUAGUCCAAUAGUUGCAAAAUGGAGGCCUCUGGAGAAGGGUUUCUGCAAAAUCAAUUUUGACGCAACAGUUGACCUCAAAAUGCAAAGAUCAUGUUUGGGACUCAUAGUCAGAGAUUGGAGUGGGGAAAUCUUAGCCACAAAAACCAUAACUCAUGAGAAUAUACCUUUAGGGUUUGUAGCCAAAGCCGUUGCAUGUUUACAGACGGUUAUACUAGGCAGGGAUUUGGGAUUAAAAUUUGUCGAUAUUGAAGGGGACUCCUUGACAGUGAUAAAAAAAGCCCAAAACAAAAGCAGGGAUAAAUCGAUAAUAGGUGCAUACAUUCAAGACAUUCAAAAACUGAGUAAGAUUUUCUAUGAGAGCAAGUUUCAUUAUAUAAGACGAAAAGCAAAUGAGAAAGAGCACGAUCUGGCAUCAAAAGGCUUAAAAAUGGUAGGAAAUGCUUACCUUGCUCACAAAACAGUUGAUGAAGGAAUCACAGAAGCAGAGAUAGAUCGGGGAUGGGGAUGAAGAAUACCAAAAGGUUUAUGAUUUAGAGAAGAAAACUUAAUUGCUACCAGUCUUUUGUUCUUCUCCAGAAGCUGUUAAUGAUGAAUGAGAUAUUUUAGAGAGAUUUCUAGAAAACACCAGCUCAUUAAUACUGGGUUGUCU